CGAGAAAUGUUGGGCGGAAGAGUAGGCAACGCCAUGGAUAGAUGUGGCCGUUACGCAUUUAUACAUAUCCCACCUAAAAUAGACCCAUUCCAUGACGAUACAAAAUAACAUUUAAAAGGGAUCAGUAGUAGGAGAGAGUGGGGACCUGAGCCCUAGGACCAUGCCUCAGGACUACCUGACAUGAUGACUCCUUGCUGUCCCCAGUCCACCUGGCCGUGCUGCUGCUCCAGUUUCAACUGUUCUGCCUUGGUUGGCAAGGCAAAGCAAGGCAGUGGGUGUUGCUGUGGAGCCACACUGUCACCAACAUACGAAGUGCAGGCUGGAUUAAUAAUUUACUCUGCCUCAUGUGGACUGCUGCUUUAAGUCUUCACAGGUGCUUUCCCAAACUGUGGCCAUUCCAUAAUUCAUAUUCUACAUCUGCAUGUUCAAUCAUUUAUAAUACAGGCUAAGUUGGAGAAACAAGAAAAAGUCUCCACACACUUCCAUUUAGAUGCAAAUGUAGUUAAUUGUGGCUAAGCUUUCAGUCUGUCGAUCUUCAUCAGAGUAUGUCCUCACAAACAAUAGUGGGACAAAUAAGGCCACACAGGCUGCGUUUAUGUUCUAUCUAGUCUUUAUAUGGCCCUUUUGGGUACUUUAGAUUACCCUGGGUAUCUGUAAUUAUAUCUGGCUCACUGUGACUGUGUUUAGACAGGCAGCCC
ensembl:lncRNA